CCUACGGGUGGCUGCAGUGAGGGAUAUUGGACAAUGGGGGAAACCCUGAACCAGCAACGCCGCGUGAGUGAAGAAGGUUUUCGGAUUGUAAACCUCUGUCAUCUGUGAAGAAAAUGACGGUACCAGAGGAGGAAGCCCCGGCUAACUACGUGCCAGCAGCCGCGGUAAUACGUAGGGAGCAAGCGUUGUCCGGAUUUACUGGGUGUAAAGGGUGCGUAGGCGGCACUGCAAGUCAGAAGUGAAAUCCAUGGGCUGAACCCCUGAACUGCUCUUGAAACUGGAGGGCUUGAGUGCAGUAGAGGUAGGCGGAAUUCCUGGUGUAGCGGUGAAAUGCGUAGAUAUUAGGAGGAACACCAGUGGCGAAGGCGGCUUGCUGGGCUUUAACUGACGCUGAAGCACGAAAGCGUGGGUAGCAAACAGGAUUAGAUACCCUUGUAGUC
rnacentral:rRNA from 1 species